ACUCAGCACUUAAUAAGCCUAAAAGCCCAUGUUUCUUCAGUCUGUUAAUCAUUUUGUCUCCUAUAUGACCUACCCUAAGGUGCCACAUAUACUUCAGGUUCAUCUCAACUUUGGAUCUUUCAAAUUCAAUGGCAUUUACUGCUUGCUCAAAUAAGUUCAUAGAUGCAUCAUCAUGCAGAUUGUCUUUAAGAACUAAAUGCAGAUGGUAGUCAC
rnacentral:lncRNA from 1 species